CCUACGGGUGGCUGCAGUGAGGAAUAUUGGUCAAUGGGCGGAAGCCUGAACCAGCCAAGUAGCGUGCGGGAUGAAGGCCCUACGGGUCGUAAACCGCUUUUGCACGGGGAUAACACCCUCCACUUGUGGCGGUCUGCAGGUACCGUGCGAAUAAGGGCCGGCUAAUUCCGUGCCAACAGCCGCGGUAAUACGGAAGGCCCGAGCGUUAUCCGGAUUCAUUGGGCUUAAAGGGAGCGUAGGCGGGCGUUCAAGUCAGCGGUAAAAUCGCGCGGCUCAACCGCGCCCCGCAGUUGAAACUGGGUGUCUUGAGUUAACAACAGGCAGGCGGAAUUCGUGGUGUAGCGGUGAAAUGCAUAGAUAUCACGAGGAACCCCGAUUGCGAAGGCAGCAUGCCGGGGUGCGACUGACGCUGAGGCUCGAAGGUGCGGGUAUCAAACAGGAUUAGAUACCCCAGUAGUC
rnacentral:rRNA from 1 species